GUAGGUGGCAAGCGUUGUCCGGAAUUAUUGGGCGUAAAGCGCGCGCAGGCGGUUCUUUAAGUCUGAUGUGAAAGCCCACGGCUCAACCGUGGAGGGUCAUUGGAAACUGGAGAACUUGAGUACAGAAGAGGAAAGCGGAAUUCCACGUGUAGCGGUGAAAUGCGUAGAGAUGUGGAGGAACACCAGUGGCGAAGGCGGCUUUCUGGUCUGUAACUGACGCUGAGGCGCGAAAGCGUGGGGAGCAAACAGGAUUAGAUACCCUGGUAGUCCACGCCGUAACGAUGUGUGCUAAGUGUUAGGGGGUUUCCGCCCCCCUUAGUGCUGCAGCUAACGCAUUAAGCACUCCGCCUGGGAGUACGGCCGCAAGGCUG
rnacentral:rRNA from 1 species